AAAUUCUGCAAGAGUCCAAGAAACUCUUAAAGCUUGCAUAACUCGUGUUUGUCUCCCUCCUGGAGCAUUAUUUUUAAAAUAAUUACAUAAAAAUACCAAGGGGAGAGGAAAAAUUUUCCGUUGUGUAAUGUAGAACUUCUCACUUCCUCUCAACACUUGUCUGUCUUCCUCUCAUUCUAUCAUUCAUAUGCAUAUCAUGUAAAACUGUGUAUCUUGCCAACUCAGAAUGCUAAUAUGGAACUGUCAUCUACAAGUAUGAUUCAAAAACAAGUACUCCUCAAAUUCAACCAGUGGGAAUAGCCACAUUCAUCCUUACAUACGAACACAAAUGGAAAUUUAGACGAACAGCAACAGUUCAGGAAAUUCUAACAACCAUCUUGUUCUUUUUCCCGGCAGACAAAAGGAUAACUUUGUCAUCCACAAU
rnacentral:misc_RNA from 1 species